GAGAAUGGCUCCGGUUUUAAAUGAUCCCAAUGACAGCAUCUCAAUCCCCUGAGAAAGUGAAGUGUUAAGGUUCUAGUAUUUCAACGAGGUCCUACCUUGAAAGGAAGAAGGACAGAUCGAUCUCUGACAGUCUGACGCCACGUCAACCAGCAGAGAGAAUUCCUCAAAGAUCGUUAACAAGUCAAUCCAUCAUUGGAUCAUGCAGGACUGCACCCAUCAUUUGCUGCAAGCAACCGAGCUGGUUUGGUGUGCUAAAAAGGCCCUCCCGGUUCGAUCGAGCAGCACGCCCGGUCGAGGGGGAUGCAACCUGAUUAUUUGGUGAUAUAAUUUGGUUUGAUAUUGACAUCCUAGAUGUAGCUCCAAAUUGUUAAAAUCAUGAUUUUGGCUCAGAACAUCGUUCUCAUGAACAGGAGACUGAUUAUGUUUUGCUACUCGACUCUCACGUGCCGCUCAGCCGUUAAUACCAUUAAAUAUGAUUGUGCCGUUGCAACGCACGGGUAUUGAACAUAAGAUUCAAUUGCAUAGUGAUCUACCAUCCUUAUGGCACUACCUCUUAUGCACUAAUCAUCCUCAGAAACAAACAUUCCAGUGAUAAACCCAAUACAACACUACACAAGAGAAAGUUGUACAAAGGCCUUAGAGCACAAAAAUAUGGAAAUUUACUCCAUUCCAAACUAUGUCAUUUUGGAUUUUCUAGAUAAUGUUUUUUUACUAUGUAUCUAGGCAUGACAUAUAUCUAAGUGCAUGGCUGCAUCUAGAAAAGCUAAACGACUUAGAGAGGGAGUAACAGGAAUAGAAAAACAGUAGCAUGAUUGUACUUAACUACAUUUUCAUCUCUGUUUAAACAUUACAGUCAGCUGUAAUAGAACCCUGAAAUCAACUAUAUAUUCCAUUUAAGGGGCUUAGGCCAUAAAACCAAACCCAAACUAAUAGGAAGUCCCUGAGGAAUCAAAUACAAUGGUUCGGUGUCGUUUCAACGAUCAUAUAGCCCUAGGAAAUUACAAUAUCAAUGUUUUCAUGUCCACUGCAUAUCUGGUCAGUGGGCAACAACUCCAUCCCAUCCUCUUGGUAUAUCUAUUGUGGACAAAAGAGACACAAGAAUUAAAGAACGUAGAAGAUAAAUACUUAGUCAACUAAAACAGAAGGAAAAAAUGGAACAAUUAGCUUGCCUGUUCACCAUAUGCAUUCACAUUCUUCUGCUCACUGAACAGAUAGGUAUCAUUGAAUUGAUUAUCACAUAAAUCCGAUGAAGGACCAACCGAGGGUAGUGAUUUAUCUUCUACACAUUGGAAUGCUGAGAGAUCAUCCAGAAUAUCAUAAUCGGAAUAAGACGAGUCAAACCCUUGUUGCAAAGCAACAUCAGAAGAAUAAACAGCAUCUGAAGAAGGAAGCCAAGAUAACUCAUCUGUAUUCUCCAGCUGCUGCUGAUCAUAUGUGAAAUCAGAUCUCCUUUUUCCAAUAAAAGUAAAAAAGAAAUAGAGUUAAUCAUCUCUUUAAACAAAUCAAGAUUUCAGACAGUAAGCUAUAAGUUCUGAAUACUGAGCUGGUUUGGUGUGCUAAAAAGCCCCUCCCAGAUCGAUCGAGCAGCACGCCCGGCC
rnacentral:lncRNA from 1 species